GCCUGGGUGGCUCAGUCAGUUAAGCGUCUGACUUCAGCUCAGGUCACGAUCUCACGGUUCGUGGGUUCGAGCCCUGCGUCGGGCU
rnacentral:tRNA from 1 species